rnacentral:rRNA from 1 species
UGAGCAAUCUGCCCUUCUCAUCGGAAUAAGCGUUGGAAACGACGUCUAAUGCCGAAUACGACCUCCUUUCGCAUGAUCGGAGGUGAAAAGCUCCGGCGGAGAAGGAUGAGCUCGCGGCCUAUCAGCUAGUUGGUGUGGGUAAUGGCCCACCAAGGCGACGACGGGUAGCCGGCCUGAGAGGGUGUCCGGCCACACUGGGACUGAGACACGGCCCAGACUCCUACGGGAGCAG